CUGGUUUAGGUCUCUGAACCCUGGAUAUACUAGAUUAUUAUUUGACAGGGUUUGAAAGGGCCUUGUCCAUGAAGAUCCUAACAUUUUAGACUUGGAGCAGGCCACCAUAGCUUUGUGGUCUAAAGCUGGAGUUUGAGCCCUGGAUCCACAUCGAUAGCCAUAAGUUUUGGAGUCCCUAAACUUCCUCAGCUGUAAAACUGGGAUGAUAAUAGUGCCUUCUUCAUAGGCUUGUGAGGAUUUUAAAUGGGAUAACCCAUGUAUGACACCUGGCUCUGAGUGAUCGAUCCACAUGUGUACUGAUGGUGUUGCAUGGUGUGCCACGGCCCUAGGGAGUCCAGCUCUUCCCCAGCUUGGCUCUGAUCACAGUCCACAUUCCAUUUAUUUAAAACCUAUUUAUUCAAAGGCACUUCUGAAUAAGGUUCUUCAUCUUCAGCUUUUCACCCUGCUUGGGGCACAUACAUUCUGGCUGGAGAUCUCUGAAAAUGUGGUACCCUAAGUUGUAUCAAGGAGGACCACUCUCUCCCUAACUGCUAGUCUGGGGAUAAGAUCCCAGAAGCUCAUGCCAAGAUGAGGAUUUUGAGGAGUGGGGAGAGCAUGAUAGGGAAGGACAGAAGUCAAAUGAAAAUGUGACUUUAGGCCAAGCCAAGUCCCACAUAGGAGUCCUGGGAUACAAACUCUGUGUUAGGGCCACUCAGGGGUAGGGGGUAGCCUCUAGGCACUUCUGGCCCUUUGGCAUGCAGGCUGGCAGGUUCCAGGAGCCCCAGGGUAGGUCUCUGGUUGGAGCUGGGGGGCCUAUUCCAGAGGAAGUGUACAUAGGAACUGUCAAAGGGAGUCACAGGUAUCUGGGGUGCACCCACUGACAGGUACCUUCAUAUUGCAAGCAGCUUAUCACCCAACACAUAUAUGGGGCUUGUGGCCCACAAAAUGCCCAGACCUUUCCCUCUGUGAGUUGCUCAGAAACAAUUCUCAUUUGUGUUUGUGCCAGGUGACGUUGGUUAGUUAAAUGCAGAGCUUGGAAUUUGCCCAAUUUCAGUUCCUUCUCCUUUGUCAUUUUGGCCUAGCCCAGAUUUGUUAUCUAAAGCUAUGACUAGUCUUAUGCCAGUUUUCAUCCAACUUGUCAGGCAGGGAAGGGCCUGUAUGAGCCUGGAAUACGUCACUGGGUUAUCCUGUAGGUCCCUGGGGCCUCCAAAUCCACAAGGUCAUUGUGGGAAAAUUUGUUCAAGGCAAAUAUGUUAAAAUCCAGAUCUUCAACAUCAGUAGGCCUUCUCACCUAAAGCACAGUCCAGGGACCCUCGACAUCAAACAAGGAAGGUGGAGGGUAUGGCCCGACUCGGUCCUUAUUCUCAGCAACACUGGUUGGUGAUUGCUGCUUCCCUCCCCCUGAUUUGACCUCCUGUUUAGCUGUUCUAGAAGUUUGAGACCAAAAACAAGCUAAGAUUUGCAGACUCUACCUAUUUGUCCUUUAGGGGUUGGGAGUGGCCCCACCCUCACUCUUGGCUUCCCUGAAAGCCCCAUCAAAGGCUGUUCCUGGCACAUAGGGGUUUACCUGCCAGCUUCCAGGGAGGUGACCUUUAGGGUCAGAAGAUUUAGGCUCCUUGCAGCUGUUCUUUAGUAACCUUCACUUUUCUCACCCUUUUUGUUGAGGUCUUUCCAAAGCUGAGUGUGUGUGUAUGUGUGUAUGUGGGGGUCUCCCUUCAGAUUGGGAGGAUAUGGGGAUGGUUCUGUUGCUGUGGUUACAGAGAAAUAAUAAACCAGGAAAAGCAUCUGGAGAAAGUUGAUGGUUGUUAAAAAGCCAAGCCAAACCAGAGUGGCAUGAGCUGAUGGGAAUGUGGGUGAACUGGUGGGGUCUGACUUUCUUGUCCUCAGAGUUAUGCACAUGCCACCUUCGCUAAUUUGAAUAGUGACUCUGCAGGACUCAUGCCAAAUCUCUCCCCCUCUAAGCCUGCGACAACUCUGCAAAGAGGCAAAUCUGGGCCUCUAAACAUGAACUCUACAAAUGGAUACUCUAAAAUUCAUUUUUCCCUGCUUCAUCAGGAGGGAAUGUGAAAAUUGGGGGAACACUGUAGUUAAGACCUGCAGUUUGGGCCAGGGAAGAGCGUUCGAUUUUAGGGUACCUUUGAAUUCCUUGUCCAGUCUGUUCUGGCCUGAGGCUUUUCAUUUCCCAGAAUAUUAUCUGAAAAAGACAUAGGGUGUUUUCUCUGCAUCCCAUCAACAUGGACCUUGUGAUGCUGUGUCUCUGUGUGUGCAACCAGAGACAAGUGGGGAGGCUCUGCAGGCCCUGCUCUGCUCCCCUAAGGUGUUCUUUCUCCCUCCAGUCCCCAGGCCCCAGUAGUCUCUUUUCCUUUUGUCUCAUAUCCGUCUUUCCCCCCUUCUCUCUCCACCCAUCCCAUUGUCCUUUCUCCUGCCUCCUUCCCCUUUAUGACAAAGGUCUACCUUGCCUUAGCCCUGUGCUCCAAACCUCAGUCUCUUCCCAUAGUCUGGGACAUUUCCCUCCAGCCAUGUUGGGUUUGGGUCUCCUCAUUUCUGAUUUUCAGGGCCAGGGCUCCCUGAGAGGCUUCCCUUGGUUUGCUCUGCUAGAUUUCCAUUGCUUUUGACCAGAAAGAGAAAUCGGUUGUCAGUGGUCCUGCUGAAUGAAUGGGAGAACUUUGUUCAGGCUGAAGAGCCACCCUAAGUUUUGGUGGUCCUUUUUGGGGGGGCUGAUUGGCUAGGUUGCUGGAGGGAUGCCCUGGGUGUGUGGUACCCAUCUUUUAGUUUUAGGCAGGCCAUCUCCUCUUUCAUGUGUUCAGAAUCUUGCUUGGCUUAUAAUUGGGUUGGGUUGUGGUCUGAACCACGAGGUUGAGAGAAUAAUUCUAUAAAAAUGAAUGUACUGUACUAACUCCACACAUGCUUUUUUUUUUUUGCCAAAAAGCAAUCUGCCU
rnacentral:lncRNA from 1 species